GGAGGUGGCAAGAGCGGGAGGAGUGGCGAGCCAGCGAGGCGCUCCCCGCUCUGAUCCUUGCGCUUCUGUGCGGGAGAGACUCCCGGGCUGCCGCCCGCCCGCCGACGGUCCAGCGACUGUCGCCUCCAGGAGUGGGGCGAGCGGGGGUCCUGGGUGGCGCUCGCAGAAGAGGCGUGGAGGGCGCGGCCCCACUCCGCGCGGGGGGAAGCGGCGGCGGGAGCGCGCUCGCCCGCCUUAUGUAAGCGAGGAUGGAGCGAAAUCCACGCCUCGCGCGGAAGGUGGAGUCCACUGGGUUCACUUGCUCACUUGCUCACUCGCUCCGGCGCUGACAAGGGACACCUGGGGGCAGAGGCAACUGCGGCCAGGGGCAGCACAGUCUCCCCGCCUGGCGCCAGACUCCUGCUCCGCAAGCGCUGCGGGCACGCCUCAGGCCACUUGGCGGUGUCCAGCGGAGCUCAGCCCACCGCCUGGCAGUGUCCCUGAGCCGGCCAAGCCUAAGCCGGAUGCCCCAGGACUGCUCUCGCUCUAGGAUUUAGGGAGUUGCGCUUGAUUGAGCCGGAGGCGGGCUGGAACUUGUUCGCGUAGAAGGGAAAGAAGGCAAGAAGCAUUUGUAGUGGCUCAGCCCACUAUCUUUGGGUUGUCAGCGCCAGUCAGGCAGUUUUAUGCUCUGCGAGCCUGUGACCUAUUUGUGGUGGAACAAAAACUGGAAAUCAAUGGAAACUCCCUCGAUGCUGAUGGCUGUUACUGCUCUGGGAAUCAUGUCUGCCUUCCCUGCUGGAAGAAGGAGCAGGUCUCUGGGGUGCAGAAACCAUAGGUUAAUUCUAAACAGCUUUUAUGGAAACCCACAGCCAAAGCAGCUUUGUUGUCUUGUCCUGACAGUUUGACCAGUGGCCCCCAUUAAAGCAGUACAUACAGGUGGGGAAUAGCGUCGUGAAUGCUGGCUAGAACAGCUGGCGGUGCUGGGCAAUGGAAUAGAGGUGCAAGGGAAAGGCACAGAAAGAACACUAGGGGAUGUAGGACACUAGCUGUUACUGGUUACUUGGAGAUACAAAGGCAGAUAGGAAGUAGUUCUGUUCUUGACUGAGUAAAAAGGAUGGGUGUCCCAGCAUCCAUAUUGAAUGGCUCACAUAAUCCCAGCUCCACGGACUUCAACAAAUACUUUCUAACAUAAACAUGGACACAUAACUGAAAAGAAAUCUUGAAAUAUACAAAACAGGGAAAGAAGAAAAUAAUUAAGAAGAAAUGCAGUAAUAACCAAAAGCUGGUAUGAUUUCUACUCAUGAACAUGAUGUUGUGACUGGUGUAUGGAAAACCCUAUUAAAAGUUCAACAGAAAUAUAAUCAAAUACAAUGUGUAACUUAGAGAAAAGUUUAUGAACAAUGCUGUCAUUUCUUACUACGCAGACAGAAUAAAUAAGCCACUGAAUGAAAUAGCGAGAAUGUUCGUGAUCAGUAAAACUAGGUUUGUCUCAUUGUGUAUGUAAUAACUGCUCCUUUUUCAGAAAUUGCUCUGACUUUCAAGAUUAGUGUCUUUGUCAUAGGAAACCAAUAAUUUACAAAUAUGUACAUUUUCUGUGAAUUUUAACCGCAGACACAGAUUUUCCGUAACGUGUAUGAGACAUUGUAUGAUAUGCCUGUAUUAUCUAAUUUACUUCACUUGAUUAAUCACCUGACGAACAGUGAUUGCAGCUUUCUGUAGAAGCAUAAUCCUACUGUGGAGUAAACAUUCGACUAUUAGACUCUCUCUAUCUUCUCUGUGCCACUUGAUAAUUACGAACCAGGUGAUGUUUCUACUGCCUACUGUAAGACCUCUCCCACACUCACCACCUUACAAACACACAUAACUGCAAGCUCCAACUGAUCUAGUAAUUUCUGAGUAAUUGGCAUGCCUCCACUUUCUCUGCUAUGCCUCUCACAACUCCCAGAAUGACCUGUCUUGCAAAACCCAUCAUAUUAGCAUCCUAGAACCACAUUUAAACAAUUUCUUGUUGUUUUAUAUCUGCUUUCCCAGAGUCUAUCAUAAGCAAAACUAGCCCUUAGAAAAUCAGCUGCAGAACACACAAUGUAAUCAGUUGUAUUUCUACUCCUUUAUUCUUUCCCUUAAGUAAUAGAAUCACCUAGAAGCUCUGUGCUGGUUAGUUUUUGUUAGCUUGACAUAAGCUAGAGUCACCUUCAAUUGAAGCAUUGCCUCUAUUGGAUUAGCCCCUGGGUGUACUUGCAGGUCAUUUUGGGUGUGAGGGCCCAAAACACUAUGUGAAGUGCCACCACUGGACAGGUGAUCCUAGGCUGUGAGAAAGCUGACUGAGCAAACUGCUAAAGAGCAUUUCUCUGUGGUCUCUAUUUCAUUUCCUGUCUUGAGUUACUGCUUUGGGAUCAUUUAAUGAUGGACCAUGACAUAGAAUUUUAAGCCAAAUAAAUUAGUUUGUCCC
ensembl:antisense Gm15688 predicted gene 15688